rnacentral:rRNA from 2 species
CGGCGGACGGGUGAGUAACGCGUGGGUAACCUGCCCUAUACACACGGAUAACAUACCGAAAGGUAUGCUAAUACGAGAUAAUAUAAGAAAUUCACAUGUUUUUCUUAUCAAAGCUGAGGCGGUAUAGGAUGGACCCGCGUCUGAUUAGCUAGUUGGUAAGGUAAUGGCUUACCAAGGCGACGAUCAGUAGCCGACCUGAGAGGGUGAUCGGCCACAUUGGAACUGAGACACGGUCCAA